rnacentral:rRNA from 1 species
GAUGAACGCUGGCGGCGUGCUUAACACAUGCAAGUCGAACGGUGAAGCAGGAGCUUGCUCUUGUGGAUCAGUGGCGAACGGGUGAGUAACACGUGAGCAACCUGCCCCUGACUCUGGGAUAAGCGCUGGAAACGGCGUCUAAUACUGGAUAUGUGAUGUGACCGCAUGGUCUGCAUCUGGAAAGAAUUUCGGUUGGGGAUGGGCUCGCGGCCUAUCAGCUUGUUGGUGAGGGAAUGGCUCACCAAGGCGUCGAAGGGUAGCCGGCCUGAGAGGUUGACCGGCCACACGGGGACUGAGAAACGGCCCAGACUCCUACGGGAGGCAGCAGUGGGGAAUAUUGCACAAUGGGCGGAAGCCUGAUGCAGCAACGCCGCGUGAGGGAUGACGGCCUUCGGGUUGUAAACCUCUUUUAGCAGGGAAGAAGCGAAAGUGACGGUACCUGCAGAAAAAGCACCGGCUAACUACGUGCCAGCAGCCGCCGUAA